UACGAAGGGGGCUAGCGUUGUUCGGAAUUACUGGGCGUAAAGGGCGCGUAGGCGGCGGGUCAAGUCAGGCGUGAAAGCCCCGGGCUCAACCUGGGAACCGCGCUUGAGACUGGCAUGCUCGAGUUCGGGAGAGGAUGGUGGAAUUCCCAGUGUAGAGGUGAAAUUCGUAGAUAUUGGGAAGAACACCGAUGGCGAAGGCAGCCAUCUGGACCGACACUGACGCUGAGGCGCGAAAGCGUGGGGAGCAAACAGG
rnacentral:rRNA from 1 species